rnacentral:rRNA from 1 species
AUGUUUCUUAGCUCAUCAGAAAUGGCGACCGGAAGUAAUAGUAGUAGCCAAGAGAGCAAGCAGCCGGGCCCCGAGCUGCCCAAGCAGCUGCCGUUCGAUUUUCUCAAGAAAAUCACCAACGAUUUCGGCCAAGACCGGAAGAUAAGCGACAGCCCCUUCGGCACACUCUACAAGGGGAUUGUGCCGGACGAUGGCAGAGUGAUAGCCGUGAAGAAACUUCAGGAGAACGCACCAAUGCCAGCUGAUAAGCAGUUCAACAAGGAGGUUCAGAAUGUUAUGUCUCUCAAGCAUGAGAACAUAGUGGAGGUCCUUGGGUUCUGCAGCGAAACGCAGAAGAAACUGGUGCAGUUUGAUAAGAGAUACAUCCAGGCAGACAUUACUGAGAGCUUAAUCUGCUAUGAGUAUUUACCUAAUGGGAGCCUUCAGGAGAAUCUUUUUGAGCCCAAAGAGUCCACUAAACAAGAGAUUAGUUGGGACACACGCUUCAAAAUAAUCAAGGGGAUUUGCCAAGGCUUAUUUUUUCUACACAAGUUGGAUAUUCCCAUUGUCCAUAUGGAUUUGAAGCCUGAAAAUAUACUGUUGGAUGCAAAUAUGGUGCCAAAGAUCGCGGAUUUUGCACUCUCAAGGGUCUUUGGCCAAGAACAAACCCGACUGUGCACACAAACAGUUGUCGGAUCAUAUGGGUACAUGGCUCCAGAAUAUCUUUACAGAGGUGAAAUCUCGGCUCAGUCAGACAUAUACAGUUUAGGCCUAGUGAUAAUCGAGAUCGCCACCGGAGAGCAGAAUCCUCGCGAAAAAGACCAACCAUCUGCGAGAAGUUUUGUUGAUAAAGUGCGUAAAGAAUGGACGCUGGAGAACAUAACAUCCAAGUAUUCCUCGUUGGAUCAUGAAAGCCUCCAACAAGUUAAAACAUGCAUUGAUAUUGGGUCAAAAUGUGUUGAGAUUGAUAGAACAAAAAGACCUCGCAUAGAAGAAAUCGUUAACUCGCUCAAAGGACUACAUCCAAGCCAAAGGGUUACCGAGGUCCCCCGUCCGUCUACAACUACCAAGAAGACAAUUAGCUCCUUUUUUGGUCAUAAGAAAUGA